ACAUUGGUGGUUCAGUGUUAGAAGUCUUGCCUUCCAUGCAGGAGACCCUGGGUUCGAUUCCCAGCCAACGAA
rnacentral:tRNA from 1 species